UCUGGUAUUGAUUGGUGCUUGCAUCAUGAUUUACAUUUGAGUGAGUGGCGAACUGGUGAGUAACACGUGGGAAACCUGCCCAGAAGCGGGGGAUAACACCUGGAAACAGAUGCUAAUACCGCAUAACAACUUGGACCGCAUGGUCCGAGCUUGAAAGAUGGCUUCGGCUAUCACUUUUGGAUGGUCCCGCGGCGUAUUAGCUAGAUGGUGGGGUAACGGCUCACCAUGGCAAUGAUACGUAGCCGACCUGAGAGGGUAAUCGGCCACAUUGGGACUGAGACACGGCCCAAACUCCUACGGGAGGCAGCAGUAGGGAAUCUUCCACAAUGGACGAAAGUCUGAUGGAGCAACGCCGCGUGAGUGAAGAAGGGUUUCGGCUCGUAAAACUCUGUUGUUAAAGAAGAACAUAUCUGAGAGUAACUGUUCAGGUAUUGACGGUAUUUAACCAGAAAGCCACGGCUAACUACGUGCCAGCAGCCGCGGUAAUACGUAGGUGGCAAGCGUUGUCCGGAUUUAUUGGGCGUAAAGCGAGCGCA
rnacentral:rRNA from 1 species